AUCUAUGGCCAUACUACCUGAUCCCACACACUUAGCAAGGUCAGGUUUGUCCAGGACUUUGAUGGGAGACCGCCUGAAAAUACCAGAAGUGGUGGGCU
ensembl:rRNA 5S_rRNA 5S ribosomal RNA